AACCUGGUUGAUCCUGCCAGUUGUCAUAUGCUUGUUUCAAGGACUAAGCCAUGCAAAUGUUAGAGUACUGGUGUUUUAAUACCAGGGGUCUGUGUACGGCUCAUUAAACGGUUUAUAGUCUCCCCAACAAAGAGGGCAGUCAUGCCUUCCUAUGGGAUAUCUUUGCGAAACGCAAAGCUAAUACCUGUAAGAAAAAUCGCUUGCUAUCAAACACCUAGGGGCAACCCAAAAGUGUGGCGGGCGAUGUGAUUGGCCGAAACAAAAAUAGACACUCGAACAGAGUAGCUGUAAUUGUUGACGCAGGCCAAAGUCGCGAAAGCACAAUUUUGUGCGAUGUUGGACGAAUUUACCACCUAUCAGGUAUUGAAGGUAGUGUAGUGGACUACCUUGCCUCUGACGGGUAACGGGGGAUUGGGGUUCGAUUCCGGAGAGGGUGCCUGAGAGACGGCAACCAUGACUAUGGUCAGCAGCAGGCGCGCAAAUUGCCCAAUGCCAACAAAUGGCGAGGCAGCGACGAAAAAUAGCAGUCCCCUUUGGGGAUUUGCAAUGGACUGUACCCAAAUAAACUGAUGAUUAUCUAUUGGAGGGCAAGUCUGGUGCCAGCAGCCGCGGUAAUUCCAGCUCCAAGAGCGUAUAUAAAUGUUGUUGCGGUUAAAAAGCCCGUAGUUGGAUUUGAGGAUGCUUCUUGUAUUCGCACCUGCGUGAAGGGUUUCUGGAUCGUAGGGACGAGUACGUUACGGAGGUAUCCUGACAUAUGCGGGAUUGUCCACUGGCCGAAGCUUCCUUAACUGGUAGCUGAA
rnacentral:rRNA from 1 species